rnacentral:misc_RNA from 1 species
GAUGAAGAACGCAGCGAAAUGCGAUACGUAAUGUGAAUUGCAGAAUUCAGUGAAUCAUCGAAUCUUUGAACGCACAUUGCGCCUGCCAGCACUCUGGCAGGCAUGCCUGUUCGAGCGUCAUUUCAACCAUCAAGCCCUAGGCUUGCGUUGGAGCCCUGCGGCUGCCGCAGGCCCCUAAAAGCAGUGGCGGGCUCGCUAUCACACCGAGUGCAGUAGUUUACUCUUCGCUCAGGGCGUGUGGCGGGUGCUAGCCGUAAAACCCCCAACUUCUCAAGGUUGACCUCGGAUCAGGUAGGAAUACCCGCUGAACUUAAGCAUAUCAAUAAGCGGAGGA